rnacentral:rRNA from 1 species
CCUANGGGUGGCUGCAGUCGAGAAUCUUCCGCAAUGGACGAAAGUCUGACGGAGCGACGCCGCGUGGUAGAUGAAGUCCUUAGGGACGUAAAUACCUUUUAUGAGGGAAGAAGUUUAUUGACAUUACCUCAUGAAUAAGGGGCUCCCAAUUCUGUGCCAGCAGGAGCGGUAAUACAGAAGCCCCGAGCAUUAUCCGGAUUUACUGGGCGUAAAGGGUGUGUAGGUGGUGUGAUUAGUCUUGCGUUAAAUCCUGGGGCUUAACCUCAGGCUCGCGUGGGAAACGGUCAUACUCGAGGAAGUGAGGGGUGUGUGGAACUCAAGGUGUAGGGGUGAAAUCCGUUGAUAUCUUGGGGAACACCAAAAGCGAAGGCAACACACUGGCACUCUCCUGACACUGAAACACGAAAGCGUGGGUAGCGAAUCGGAUUAGAUACCCUANUANUC